rnacentral:rRNA from 1 species
GACGAACGCUGGCGGCGUGCUUAACACAUGCAAGUCGAACGGUAAGGCUCCAGCUUGCUGGGGUACACGAGUGGCGAACGGGUGAGUAACACGUGGGUGACCUGCCCUGCACUUCGGGAUAAGCCUGGGAAACUGGGUCUAAUACCGGAUAGGACCGCACCGUGAGGGUGUGGUGGAAAGUUUUUUCGGUGUGGGAUGGGCCCGCGGCCUAUCAGCUUGUUGGUGGGGUAAUGGCCUACCAAGGCGGCGACGGGUAGCCGGCCUGAGAGGGUGGACGGCCACAUUGGGACUGAGACACGGCCCAGACUCCUACGGGAGGCAGCAGUGGGGAAUAUUGCACAAUGGGCGGAAGCCUGAUGCAGCGACGCCGCGUGGGGGAUGACGGCCUUCGGGUUGUAAACUCCUUUCACCAUCGACGAAGGGUUUCUGACGGUAGAUGGAGAAGAAGCACCGGCUAACUACGUGCCAGCAGCCGCGGUAAUACGUAGGGUGCGAACGUUGUCCGGAAUUACUGGGCGUAAAGAGCUCGUAGGUGGUUUGUCGCGUCGUCUGUGAAAUUCCGGGGCUUAACUCCGGGCGUGCAGGCGAUACGGGCAUAACUUGAGUACUGUAGGGGAGACUGGAAUUCCUGGUGUAGCGGUGAAAUGCGCAGAUAUCAGGAGGAACACCGGUGGCGAAGGCGGGUCUCUGGGCAGUAACUGACGCUGAGGAGCGAAAGCAUGGGGAGCGAACAGGAUUAGAUACCCUGGUAGUCCAUGCCGUAAACGGUGGGCGCUAGGUGUGGGUUUCCUUCCACGGGAUCCGUGCCGUAGCUAACGCAUUAAGCGCCCCGCCUGGGGAGUACGGCCGCAAGGCUAAAACUCAAAGGAAUUGACGGGGGCCCGCACAAGCGGCGGAGCAUGUGGAUUAAUUCGAUGCAACGCGAAGAACCUUACCUGGGCUUGACAUAUACAGGAUCGCGCCAGAGAUGGUGUUUCCCUUGUGGCUUGUAUACAGGUGGUGCAUGGUUGUCGUCAGCUCGUGUCGUGAGAUGUUGGGUUAAGUCCCGCAACGAGCGCAACCCUUGUCUUAUGUUGCCAGCACGUUGUGGUGGGGACUCGUAAGAAACUGCCGGGGUUAACUCGGAGGAAGGUGGGGAUGACGUCAAAUCAUCAUGCCCCUUAUGUCCAGGGCUUCACACAUGCUACAAUGGUCGGUACAGUGGGUUGCCAGUCCGUGAGGGCGAGCUAAUCCCGCAAAGCCGGUCUCAGUUCGGAUCGGGGUCUGCAACUCGACCCCGUGAAGUCGGAGUCGCUAGUAAUCGCAGAUCAGCAACGCUGCGGUGAAUACGUUCCCGGGCCU